rnacentral:rRNA from 1 species
UAAGUUUCAACAACGGAUCUCUUGGCUCUCGCAUCGAUGAAGAACGCAGCGAAAUGCGAUAAGUAAUGUGAAUUGCAGAAUUCAGUGAAUCAUCGAAUCUUUGAACGCACCUUGCGCCCCUUGGUAUUCCUUGGAGCAUGCCUGUUUGAGUAUCAUGA